ACUUACGGUGUCGUCUCCUGCAGCUUCCUCUCCUUGUCGUCCUCUGUGUCUUCUCCGCCAAAAUCGUCAACGCCUUCCUCUUCGACGAUCCAGAUUCGCCACUAGGGAUUGCAUUCCGCAGGAGAGGAAUUCCUUUGUCAACUUCCAAGCCAAAACCAGUGUAGAGAAUGCAGAAGUGUAUCUGGUGUUGCUGGACCGUUGGAUACUCUUGAUAAAGUUAAGGCUGCCAUUGUGAAUUCACAGACCCUUGAAGAAGUUGCAAGACUUAAAAAGGAUACAGAGUUAAGCUCUCAUCUGAAUGCUCUAGCAGAGUCAGAAACAGAGGGUGUCCAAGGAGCUGCUGCGGUUUUUAGUCAGGUCCCCCUUUAUAAACAUAAACACAAAUAUGAAGGCUAUGCUAUAGACUGGAGUCUUCUUGUUCCCGUAGCCGGAAGGCUUGUAUCUGUUAAUAUUUAGUUAUUUCUUUUUCUCUAUUUAGCUAUAUUUUAUAAACAUGGAAUAUUUACAGUACUCGAUUUGUUGGGCAUACUGCUAGUGUUGAAGAUCUACAAGUUAUAUUGGUGGUUUAUGAAACCUCUUAACUAUCAAAUAGCAAGAGCACAUGUUCUUUGUGAUGUCAUUGUAAUUUCUAGUAAUGAGAAGAACCGCGUUUCCC